rnacentral:lncRNA from 1 species
ACAAUUGGUUUGCUUACUGGGGCCAAGGCACUCUGGUCACUGUCUCUUCAGCUCCUGAAAAGGAACCUGACUUGUUCCUCUCCUCAGAGUGCAAAGCCCCAAAUCAAAAUGAACAUGUGAACGUGAGCUGUAUGGCAAUUGGAGUGCAACCAUUGACUCUGGCCUGGGAGCCAACGCUUCCAAGUACUGUCUUCUCUGGUACAAACAAAGACGAAUAUAUAACGAUCCUUCAGGUCUCUGUGCCGGCCCCAAAUCUGAGCCCCAACCUCACUUGCACCAUAACAAACACAUCCAAAAA